UGUAAAUUAGUGUAUUAAAGCACUUGGAUUUUUGGUAUCCAAAGAAAAGUUUAAAUCUUUAUUUUACAA
rnacentral:tRNA from 1 species